rnacentral:tRNA from 1 species
GGGGGCAUAGCUCAGUGGUAGAGCAUCCGACUGCAUAUUGGAUUAUCCCCGGUUUAAAUCGUGGUGCUCCCU